rnacentral:rRNA from 1 species
UACGUAGGGUGCGAGCGUUGUCCGGAAUUAUUGGGCGUAAAGCGCACGUAGGCGGCUUUCUAAGUCGGGGGUGAAAUCCUGGAGCUCAACUCCAGAACUGCCUUCGAUACUGGAGAGCUUGAGUCCGGGAGAGGUGAGUGGAACUGCGAGUGUAGAGGUGAAAUUCGUAGAUAUUCGCAAGAACACCAGUGGCGAAGGCGGCUCACUGGCCCGGUACUGACGCUGAGGUGCGAAAGCGUGGGGAGCAAACAGG